rnacentral:rRNA from 3 species
GUUUGACCUCAAAUCA